rnacentral:rRNA from 1 species
UGGGGAAUAUUGCACAAUGGAGAGAACUCUGAUGCAGCGACGCCGCGUGAACGAAGAAGGCUUUCGAGUCGUAAAGUUCUUUUACAUGGGAAGAUAAUGACGGUACCAUAAGAAAAAGCCCCGGCUAACUACGUGCCAGCAGCCGCGGUAAUACGUAGGGGGCUAGCGUUGUCCGGAAUCACUGGGCGUAAAGGGUUCGCAGGCGGAAAUGCAAGUCAGGUGUAAAAGGCAGUAGCUUAACUACUGUAAGCAUUUGAAACUGCAUAUCUUGAGAAGAGUAGAGGUAAGUGGAAUUUUUAGUGUAGCGGUGAAAUGCGUAGAUAUUAAAAAGAAUACCGGUGGCGAAGGCGACUUACUGGGCUCAUUCUGACGCUGAGGAACGAAAGCGUGGGUAGCAAACAGG